UAUCCUUCUGUCAAUGUCACGCUGUCAAACAAAAACCACCCUGAUGACCAAGUCGUGAUCCAAUUUUAACCUGUGCCUGAUGCACCUUCCCCGAAGGUCCACCGGAGGAUGAGCACCAGGGUCCUCGUAGCACAUUUCUGGGAGACAGCGUUUUUCCUCUUGAUCCUCUUCGCCGCUUAUUUGUCCAUCAGAGGGCUGAUCAGGGCCACGAGAGGGUCGAGGUGUUGAAGGAUUAUGGAGCUGGAUGCCAUCCUAUUGGGGCUAGUCCUGUAUUUACUUCUAGUGGGCAUACUGAUAAUUAUAAACGAGGCCUUCUGCAAGUCGAUAUGUAUGAAGAAUGCUAGACGUAUAGCAAACGAAGAAGCACCAGAUGUCGAGCUGAAUGAGAGGAGGCCUUCAAAGACGAUAACCAGGGCACCACGAAGAAACCAUGGCACAGGCGACGCCAUACCGUCUCGCAUAAACCACUUGUAAACCUCAGUAGCAAGAAGUUCGAGAACACAAUAAGAGAUGGCGCUAAUCGUCCUACUAAAGAUGUAUAUCGCCGCCACCAGAUGUCACUAUAACAGAUUGAAACCCCAAAACAGAGAAAAUCACGUGUGAAAUCAAAACGAAAUGCAAAUGAUUUGUACAAAAUUUAUUUCUUACGUAUACUAAUUAAAGCAGGUUGCAAUAUUAA